rnacentral:rRNA from 1 species
CACAGACAACCAGGAUGUUGGCUUAGAAGCAGCCACUCAUUCAAAGAGUGCGUAAUAGCUCACUGGUCGAGUGAUCCUGCGCCGAAGAUUUCCGGGGCUAAAACUUACUACCGAAGCUACGGCAUCAGUAAUGAUGGGUAGGGGAGCUUCCCAUACGGGUUGAAGCAUGACCGUAAGGACAUGUGGACAGGAUGGGAGUGAGAAUGUUGGCAUGAGUAGCGAGAUGUGGGUGGGAAUCCCACAGGCCGUAAACCCAAGGUUUCCAGGGGAAGGUUCGUCCGCCCUGGGUUAGUCGGGACCUAAGCUGAGGCCGAAAGGCGUAGGUGAUGGACAACAGGGUGAUAUUCCUGUACUACCGAU